rnacentral:hammerhead_ribozyme from 1 species
AUCCGGCUGAAGAGUCCCCAAUAGGACGAGACGCACGUCUUGCAU